GACCUCAACUCAUGUGUGACU
rnacentral:rRNA from 25 species